rnacentral:lncRNA from 1 species
AAUUAACAGAUAUUCUUGCUUUGUAACUUAUGAUGGAUGCAAGAUCCGAUAGAUUCACUCUUCCUUCUGUUGUUAAAAAAAUUCCUAAUGCUCCUUCUAUCUUCCAAGUUGCAUUUGGUCUGCAAAAUUUUAGCGCCGAUAUUGUUAGUUUCAAGAUGAUGAAAAUCUUGCAACAAGAUGAAUCAAAGCCGACCAAUUUGCAGCGAUGUUUCGGUGCUGGACCUUCAUCAAAGCUUCCUAAAGAGGUUGUUAUAUCAACUCCUGAAAAAUAUGUGCCCACCAAACUCUUUAAGACAUCUUUAUCUACAAAAAAGUAAGAUAAUCUCGCUAUUCACCCUUUUACAUUAAGAUAUCGACAUACAUUUCCCUCAUUCACACGAAAGCAACAAAGAAAUUUAUGAUGGAAUUGCCGCUUCGGUGACAUCAAUGACCAUAACAUCGAUAAAAUUGAGGAAAUUGAGAUAUCGAAGAUCUACCGGUAAUAAUCGAACUUGGUGUCCAAGCUUUUGAUGAUAAAGCCAACAUCUCUCUUUCUACUAUUAUUUGCACCGAUCGAAGCUGACCAUGGGGUGAACGAGGACGAAAUCGAUGUCUUAAAACGCCUGGGUUCACCACAACA